ensembl:misc_RNA Metazoa_SRP Metazoan signal recognition particle RNA
GCUGGGUGCAGUGGUGUGGCCUAUAGUCCCAGCUACUCGGGAGGCUGAGAUGGGCGGAUCUCUGAGCCCAGGAGUUCUGGGCUGUAGUCCACUAUGCCAAUCGGGUGUCUGUACUAAGUCCGGCAUCAAUAUGGUGACCUCCCAGGAGCGGGGGACCACCAGGUUGCCUAAGGAGGGAUGAAUAGGCCCAGGUCAGAAAUGGAGCAGGUCAAAACUCCCAUGCUGAUCAGUAGUGGGAUCAUGCCUGUGAAUAGCCACUGCACUCCAGCCUGGGCAACAUAGGGAGACCCCGUCCCUG